rnacentral:rRNA from 1 species
UCAAGCUGCGAAGGAGAAACAUGGUCACCCACAGAAGCUAAGCAGGGCUGCGCCUGGUCAGUACCUGGAUGGGAGAGCACACAGGAAAGCUAGGUUGCUGCCGGAA